AGAGGGUGCGAGCGUUAAUCGGAAUUACUGGGCGUAAAGCGCACGUAGGCGGCUUGGUAUGUCGGGUGUGAAAUCCCCGGGCUCAACCUGGGAACUGCAUCCGAAACUGCCUUGCUCGAGUAUGGGAGAGGGAAGUGGAAUUUCCGGUGUAGCGGUGAAAUGCGUAGAUAUCGGAAGGAACAUCAGUGGCGAAGGCGACUUCCUGGACCAAUACUGACGCUCAGGUGCGAAAGCGUGGGGAGCAAACAGGAUUAGAUACCCUGGUAGUCCACGCCCUAAACGAUGACAACUGGAUGUCGGGAGGGUUUGCCUUCCGGUGUCGUAGCUAACGCGUUAAGUUGUCCGCCUGGGAAGUACGGCCGCAAGGUUG
rnacentral:rRNA from 1 species